CCUUUCACUAUGACUGUGUCUCCCUCCAUCAGUGCAGGCCACACGUGAUAUGCCACCAGUGGCGCAGUGAACUCUGAAUCGUAACUAC